rnacentral:lncRNA from 1 species
AAAUACACAUGCAAUUGGAUCAACCCAUUCACACAACCGUCAAGAGGAGAAAAAAAAAUGAAAAGGAAAAAGAAAUACCUUCUUUAUUUAAUACAUGGAUACCUAAUAAUUCAUUUAUUUAAUAAUUUAUUUUAUUUCUCAAAAAAAAAAUUGUUCAUGAAUUAUAUAUAUUUAUUGCUAACAUUUCCCUGAAAAACAAAUGCCUGAAAUUGAAAAAUUGAGAUGGGGUCCAGCUCCAACCCCGCCAUAAGCACGUCCAAAUCUUUGGGACCGUCGGGUUGUCAUUUCUGAGCUGUUUCCUCGAAAUUCAAUCAAAGCUUCCCUUCUUACUUUUAAACUAGAUGAAGUCGUCUUUCUCAAAUUAUUGCGUUCUCGCUUUGCUCUGUUAAGAAAAGACUGAAGGGGGAAAUUUAUCGGUUACGCCAUCUGCUUUUCUUUUCCCUGCUUUGCUCUUACUCUUUUGAAAUACUUAUCGGUAUAAAUAAGCUUAGGCAGGCAGUUUUAACCAUGAAAAUGGACUUCCUUUACGCUUUAAACCUCUACAAAAUUUAAGCCUUUUACUUUAAAUCAUGAAAAUAGAAUUUCUAGCCUUAAUUUGAUCCAGAAAAAAAGAACAUAUUCUGAGUAAAAACCUUAAAAAGGCAGAAGAAGGGGGUGAUUAUAAGGAAAGCUGCAUAAGCACUUGUUAAAUGAAAACUAUAUAUAGUUGGAAAGGUGGUUUAAUAGGCCACUAAAAUUAUUUGAAAAAUCAAUUUAAAAAGACAAAUUAAAUAUACUUUAAGGACUAAAUACUUGGUUUCUACUAAAAAAUAAUUAACAAAAUAUUUGUUUGAACAGGUUGCAUCUUAUUACUAUUGAAAGAGUAAAUAAUAUAUAUAUUUUUAAAAAUUCAAACUUUAUUAUUUUCUAUCUUUUAAAAAUUAUUUUUAUUUUUUUACUUAUUUACUUUUAUUUUUAAUUUUUUUGGAUAUUAAAAACAUCAUAAUUUUUUUUAAAAAAAUUAAGUUUUAGUGAAAAUAUCUAAAAUGUUUAAAUCUUUUCUUUUUUUAUUUUUAUAUGCUUUUAAAAAGUAAAAAUUAAAAGGUUAUUUUUCUUUUUUAUAAUUGCCAUGUCAAUAAUGCUAAUGAUAAAUACUUUUUUAUAGAACUUUUAUUCCAAAAUCAUUAAAAAAUAGGUUAUUUGUCUAUAUACCAAAUAAUCACUCAUAAUUUGUUAUUUAAUCAAAAUAUAAGAAAUAGGUAUAAUUUUAAAUUUUAAAAUAAUUUUUUUAAAAAUAAUUUAAUGGUCAAAAUAAAUUUAAAUUUCAAAUAAUUAGAAAGAUUUAAAUUUUAAAUAAUAAUUAUAAAAUUAUUUUUUAAAAAUAUUAUGCAAAUGAGUUUUUUUUUAAAAUUAAAAGAUAAUUCAAGUUUAAAAUCUAUUAAAAAUAAUAAAUUUUAAAAUAAAUAAAGGAAAAAUAUUAUCUUUUCAUAAUUUUAAUAUUUUUAAAAUUAUAAAAAAUGAAAUAUAUGUUUUACUUCAAAUUUUUAAUAAAUAAAAUGGAAAAAAUAAACUAAGAUAUAUUAUCCUAAAAUAUUAUUUUUUUAAAAUUUAAAAUUAUUUAUUAAUACAUUUAUUUAAAAAUAUAUUUACAUGUGAUUACAAUAAGCUUUUAAAAAUAAUUUAGUUUUAUAUUUUAAUUUUAUUUAAAAUAUAUUUUUUUGUAAAACUUAAUUUAGUAUGACUUUAAAAUCAUAAAUAUUAAAAUAUACAUUAAGAUGACAUAGAAGAAGAGCAAACCUUUACACAUGAAUGAAUGAAUGAAAAAUAUAAAAAAGUUAAAAUCUAAUUAAAAAAUUUUAAACAAACAUUAUAAAACAUUUCGUCUCUGUUGAUUUAAAAAUUAAAAAAAAUAUGAUCAGUUUACUUGUUUUGAUUUCGUCUUUGUUGUCGCUGUGGUUAUCCAGUUUACUUGUUGUUUGCUCUCCCAAUGGAGUUUGUUAUUGCCAUCG